rnacentral:tRNA from 2 species
GGCUGGGUGGCAGAGUGGCCAUGCUGCGGACUGCAACUCCGCCUACGCCGGUUCGAUUCCGACCCCAGCCUCCA